CAGCAGCCGCGGGAAUACGAAGGGUGCAAGCGUUAAUCGGAAUUACUGGGCGUAAAGCGUGCGUAGGCGGUGAGUUAAGUCUGCUGUGAAAUCCCCGGGCUCAACCUGGGAAUGGCAGUGGAUACUGGCUCGCUAGAGUGUGUCAGAGGAUGGUGGAAUUCCCGGUGUAGCGGUGAAAUGCGUAGAGAUGUGGAGGAAUACCGAUGGCGAAGGCAGCCCCCUGGGCCAAUACUGACGCUCAUGCACGAAAGCGUGGGGAGCAAACAGGAUUAGAUACCCCUGUAGUCCCUGUCUCUUAUAC
rnacentral:rRNA from 1 species